GAUGAACGCUGGCGGCGUGCCUAAUACAUGCAAGUAGAACGCUGAAGGAGGAGCUUGCUCUUCUGGAUGAGUUGCGAACGGGUGAGUAACGCGUAGGUAACCUGCCUGGUAGCGGGGGAUAACUAUUGGAAACGAUAGCUAAUACCGCAUGACAACAGUUAUUGCAUGAUAACUGUUUAAAAGGGGCAACUGCUCCACUACCAGAUGGACCUGCGUUGUAUUAGCUAGUUGGUGAGGUAACGGCUCGCCAAGGCGACGAUACAUAGCCGACCUGAGAGGGUGAUCGGCCACACUGGGACUGAGACACGGCCCAGACUCCUACGGGAGGCAGCAGUAGGGAAUCUUCGGCAAUGGACGGAAGUCUGACCGAGCAACGCCGCGUGAGUGAAGAAGGUUUUCGGAUCGUAAAGCUCUGUUGUAAGAGAAGAACGAGUGUGAGAGUGGAAAGUUCACACUGUGACGGUAUCUUACCAGAAAGGGACGGCUAACUACGUG
rnacentral:rRNA from 1 species